AGUGGUAUAACUGGGUCAAAUGGUGGUUCCAUUCCAAGAGGAAUCUCCUUACUGCUUUCCAGAGUGUUUGCACCAAUUUGUAGUGCCUCAAGCAAU
rnacentral:pre_miRNA from 1 species